rnacentral:pre_miRNA from 1 species
UUAGUACUCCCUCCGUUUCAUAAUUCUUGUCUCAAAUUUGCCCAAAAAUGGAUGUAUCUAUUCCUAAAAAGCGUCUAGAUACAUGUAAUAUUUCGACAAGAAUUAUGGAAUGGAGGAAGUACUCA